UUAAACUUGUCUGAUCCUAACCCGAAUCUGUGCACCCCUAUGUGGACAAAAGGCUACAACAUCAGAAGGGGUCCCGUGCAGAAAAUGGCAAAUUCGUUUAUUACAAAGAACAAGUGCUCCAAAGUCUGCCUCACCCUCCACUUUGCAAUUUGCCACAAAAACACGAAAUUGUCACUGGUUCGUAUUUAUGUUCGUUCUUUUCUUUCAUUUUUUCCAUUUUCUUUUUGGGUUAACUCACAUGAAAUUCUGGUAUGAGUUGAUCUGGACCGACAUAAACUUUCUAGCUAUUUGCAUGGGGAUCCUUCAACAUGAAUGGAUGAGCAUUGAUUCGUGAAUUCUUGAAAUUCUGUUUUUAUUUGAUUUUUCACUGAAAUAUACGAAAUUAAUUUGCAAGUAAAGAUUUUUUUUCAUAGCUUUAAAGUUACUCAUCCCGAACAGCCCAUAAUUUUUCUUUUAUUGUCAAUAAUGCAAUUGCUAUUCCAUUAUGGUACUCGUAGCAAUGGUGAGCACCACCAGUAAAUACGGUGUCUUUUUGUUUGGUAAAUGGAUUCAAAUUGCUACUUAUGAUACUUAAGUCAUAAUUUUAAAGGAGUGAUAAGGGUUGGUUUAGAAGAAUUCAAAGGGUCUUAGUGUAAUUUACAUUAUAUAGUAAGUUUGAUAUCUCUUCUUUCGCGCUAUGUUUCAUUCCUCUGACAAAUUCCCCUGACAAUUUCUUGUUCUUUCGUCUCACAAUUUCUUUAUUGUUCCAAACCUACUCAGUCAAUGGAGAAUCCAAAUGGAGGUCGUUUUGAUUUGCCUCACACUUGCAAUAUCUGCGAGAGUGUUCACAAAACCACAAGGAUAUGCUCAUAAGAAAUACCUUAAUACACGUAUUUCC
rnacentral:lncRNA from 1 species